rnacentral:rRNA from 1 species
GACGAACGCUGGCGGCGUGCUUAACACAUGCAAGUCGAACGGAAAGGCCCUGCUUUUGUGGGGUGCUCGAGUGGCGAACGGGUGAGUAACACGUGAGUAACCUGCCCUUGACUUUGGGAUAACUUCAGGAAACUGGGGCUAAUACCGGAUAGGAGCUCCUGCUGCAUGGUGGGGGUUGGAAAGUUUCGGCGGCUGGGGAUUGACUCGCGGCUUAUCAGCUUGUUGGUGGGGUAGUGGCCUACCAAGGCUUUGACGGGUAGCCGGCCUGAGAGGGUGACCGGCCGCAUUGGGACUGAGAUGCGGCCCGGACUCCUACGGGAGGCAGCAGUGGGGAAUAUUGCACAAUGGGCGGAAGCCUGAUGCAGCAACGCCGCGUGCGGGAUGACGGCCUUCGGGUUGUAAACCGCUUUCGCCUGUGACGAAGCGUGAGUGGCGGUAAUGGGUAAAGAAGCACCGGCUAACUACGUG